rnacentral:rRNA from 1 species
ACACCGGCAGCUCAAGUGGUAGCCGCUUUUAUUGGGCCUAAAGCGUCCGUAGCCGGUCUGAUAAGUCUCUGGUGAAAUCCCACAGCUUAACUGUGGGAAUUGCUGGAGAUACUAUCAUGACUCGAGGUCGGGAGAGGCUGGAGGUACUCCCAGGGUAGGGGUGAAAUCCUGUAAUCCUGGGAGGACCACCUGUGGCGAAGGCGCCCAGUGGGAACGAACCGGACGGGGAGGGACGAAAGCCAGGGGCGCGAACCGGAUUAGAUACCCGGGUAGUCCUGGCCGUAAACGAUGUGGACUUGGUGUUGGGAUGGCUUCGAGCUGCCCCAGUGCCGAAGGGAAGCUGUUAAGUCCACCGCCUGGGAAGUACGGCCGCAAGGCUGAAACUCAAAUGAAUUGGCGGGG